rnacentral:rRNA from 1 species
GGAAUCCUAAGGUGUGCGAGAGAACUCUCGUUAAGGAACUCGGCAAAAUGACCCCGUAACUUCGGGAGAAGGGGUGCUGACCGCAAGGUCAGCCGCAGUGAAUAGGCCCAAGCGACUGUUUAUCAAAAACACAGGUCUCUGCAAAAUCGAAAGAUGACGUAUAGGGGCUGACGCCUGCCCGGUGCUGGAAGGUUAAGAGGAGAGGUUAGCGCAAGCGAAGCUUUGAAUUGAAGCCCCAGUAAACGGCGGCCGUAACGAUAACGGUCCUAAGGUAGCGAAAUUCCUUGCCGGGUAAGUUCCGACCCGCACGAAAGGCGUAACGAUUUGGGCACUGUCUCAACGAGAGACUCGGUGAAAUUAUAGUACCAGUGAAGAUGCUGGUUACCCGCGACAGGACGGAAAGACCCCAUGGAGCUUUACUGCAGUUUGAUAUUGCGUGUUUGUAUCACAUGUACAGGAUAGGUAGGAGCCGAAGAUACCGGGACGCCAGUCUCGGAGGAGGCAACGGUGGGAUACUACCCUUGUGAUAUGACCACUCUAACCCGCUGCUCUUAGCGAGCAGGGAGACAGUGUCAGACGGGCAGUUUGACUGGGGCGGUCGCCUCCAAAAAUGUAACGGAGGCGCCCAAAGGUUCCCUCAGAAUGGUUGGAAAUCAUUCGUAGAGUGUAAAGGCAGAAGGGAGCUUGACUGCGAGACCUACAAGUCGAGCAGGGACGGAAGUCGGGCUUAGUGAUCCGGUGGUUCCGCAUGGAAGGGCCAUCGCUCAACGGAUAAAAGCUACCCUGGGGAUAACAGGCUUAUCUCCCCCAAGAGUUCACAUCGACGGGGAGGUUUGGCACCUCGAUGUCGGCUCAUCGCAUCCUGGGGCUGUAGUCGGUCCCAAGGGUUGGGCUGUUCGCCCAUUAAAGCGGUACGCGAGCUGGGUUCAGAACGUCGUGAGACAGUUCGGUCCCUAUCCGUCGCGGGCGUUGGAAAUUUGAGAGGAGCUGUCCUUAGUACGAGAGGACCGGGAUGGACACACCGCUGGUGUACCAGUUGUUCUGCCAAGAGCAUCGCUGGGUAGCUAUGUGUGGACGGGAUAAACGCUGAAAGCAUCUAAGCGUGAAGCCCCCCUCAAGAUGAGAUUUCCCAUCACUUUAAGUGAGUAAGACCCCUGAGAGAUGAUCAGGUAGGUAGGUUGGGAGUGGAAGUACAGCGAUGUAUGGAGCGGACCAAUACUAAUCGGUCGAGGACUUAAUC